AGGCCAUUGACUCUGGGUAGUGCCAGACUUGACAAGUUGUGACUUGGCCAUCACAUUCAGCUCUAGACUCAGAAUGUUUGUUUUACUCCUGAGGAAGACAAUGGAAAGCUUGAAGGACUGAAUUAACCUAAGGCCAUCCCAUCAGUGUCAUGAUAUGACCACUACUCUCAUUCCUUCCUUGCUGCAGCCCUCUCAGAGCUACGGGUGGCCUUUUUGGAGCAGACACUCUUCUGAAGGUCAGACUAAUCUGACACAGCUUUAGCUGACUGAACAAUAUAGGACUAUCAAGAUCUUCAUUACAUGCCCUGUGAAGCAUAUUUGGACUGCCUUCCCACAGUCAACUUCAUCUGGUGGAAUACAAGCAAUAUUCUUAUAUGUAUCACAACUGGAUACAUAAAGGAAGACUUGCAGUGUACUAAACACUUGGGUUUCAGGGUUUGAAAUUGUGCCUGUGUUCAUGGGAAAAAUCAAUCCAAGUCAAACCUAUACAAGCAAUGUUUCUGCUAUCUGCUGUACCUUCUCUCCGCCCUAUUGGCCUUUAUAGACAACACACUGCAGAUGUUUUCCUGAGCUCUGCUACCAUUUUCAGAUUUUUGAUCUCUAACUUCACACAUACUGAGCAUUCUUUUCUUCUUGUUCAUCUAUAUAAGGCAGUCUCCCCAAAAACACAGCUUAGUCACUUCCCAAAUG